GAUGAACGCUGGCGGCGUGCCUAAUACAUGCAAGUCGAGCGAACAGACGAGGAGCUUGCUCCUCUGACGUUAGCGGCGGACGGGUGAGUAACACGUGGAUCACCUACCUAUAAGACUGGGAUAACUUCGGGACACCGGAGCUAAUACCGGAUAAUAUAUUGAACCGCAUGGUUCAAUAGUGAAAGACGGUUUUGCUGUCACUUAUAGAUGGAUCCGCGCGGCAUUAGCUAGUUGGUAAGGUAACGGCUUACCAAGGCGACGAUGCGUAGCCGACCUGAGAGGGGGAUCGGCCACACUGGAACGGAGACACGGUCCAGACUCCUACGGUAGGCAGCAGUAGGGAAUCUUCCGCAAUGGGCGAAAGCCUGACGGAGCAACGCCGCGUGAGUGAUGAAGGUCUUCGGAGCGUAAAACUCUGUUAUUAGGGAAGAACAAAUGUGUAAGUAACUAUGCACGUCUUGACGGUACCUAAUCAGAAAGCCACGGCUAACUACGUG
rnacentral:rRNA from 1 species